rnacentral:lncRNA from 1 species
GGAAACGCGUGGGCGUUGGUGCUGGUGCCCGCAGUCCCACACCGCAGGCGGACUGUUCCAGCAGGCCCCCAUGGCCCCACUGGGCUGCUGUAUGCGGCCAAGAAGGCUGAACGCACCUCCUGCAGCCGAAUCUCCCGGGCACUCAGAGGGCAAGCCUGGGUUUGGGGACUUCCAGUGGACUGCUACCCAUCCUGAAGACGUUGUCAGGAUGGUUUGAAGAUGAGGCGCUGGAAGACUUGGCUUCAGCCAGCCCCGGGGGGAAGGCAGGCUGUCCUCAGAGGGCUGUGGCCGGUUCCAGAGCACACUCUGCGGAGAGGACGAGUGAUUCUUCCUCCAAGGUGCCCGAGUCUGUGCUCCUGCCGGAAUCAGCUCCGUGGCCUCAUAGGCAAAGCUCCCUGUGGCUCCUGGGGAGCUCUCCGUGACCAGGGAGAAGUCCCUUCGUCUCCGAAGAUGUCUUCCCCAGUGGAGCCGUGUCCCGGGCAGGCAGACUCCUCCUCUGUGACCAGGGAGAAGUCCCUUCAUCUCGGCAGAUGUCUUCCCCAGUGGAGCCGUGUCCCGGGCAGGCAGACUCCUCCUCUGGGUCUUCCUUCUCGGAGGUGAUAUGCUUCAGAAAACUGAAGCCGCAGGAGAAAAUCUCGUCUCCUCUGCUGAGCCGACCUACCAACAUGUGCCCAAAGAGGAACCAGUCAUAGGCCACAGUUAGGUAGAGGGUCUCAGCAGGCUUCAGAGACGUGGGGAUGAGUCCAUCAGCCACGAGGAAAGGCGCAGGAGAGAGAUGAAGAGGGGUCCAUCCCAGCCUGAGACACGGUGCACAGCCACCCGCUGUCGUCAUCGCUGUUGACUGUGGAGAGCAGCAGCUUCAGGUAGCUUUGUGUCUGUUGCACCAGGUCCCCACUCUGAUACAGGCUCCAGUCAAUGUUCAGAGGGUGAGUCAGGAAUUCGGGGAUGCUCAAGGGGGCAUUGACGUAGUCCUGCUUCCAGUUAAAUAUGAGCCCUUCGGCCGUGUGAUCCCGAUCCUUAUAUUCCUUGAAGAAUUCACAGCCUGGAUACAGGAUGGAGAGGAGAGUGAAGUUGGCAUAGUGCUGGGCUUGGUCCACCUUCUCAGAGGAGGCUACAUUCAUGCCAAAUUCCACCAUGAGAUCACAGAUGUCCUUGACUGACAAGUACCAAAGUAACCUGAUGUCAUAGCCGCUGACCUUAUCAAAAAGAUGCAUGUCUCCACUUCGAAGAGCACAAUCCUCUUCUGUGACGUCCUCCACAUCUGCCCAGGAAUCAUCUGCACCCCCUGAGAAAAAAUAGUUGUAGCCAGAGCGUCCCUAGAGCUCCCCGCAUCCAGCCAGCGUGGCUGACCUGCAAAUGUGCUUGCCUCUGAACCGGGCAGACGCACCGUCCUCUGCACCUGGCCCUCUUGCUGUGGUUGAUGAGGUCUUGCAGCUGGCUCCUUGCACCGUGCUCUGAACGUGUCUUUCUCCUUCUCAGAACUCUCAUACUCCAGGAACACCGUGUGCCGGGCAUAGUGACCACAGACAUCCCCCUUCACAUUUGGAGUCACGCUGAAACACAAGUCUCAGCCCAACAGCUCCCGACAUCUCUUCUCAAU